rnacentral:rRNA from 1 species
CACCGGCAGCUCAAGUGGUCGAUAUUAUUGAGCCUAAAACGUCCGUAGCCGGUCUUCUAAAUCCUUGGGUAAAUCGGGCAGCUUAACUGUCCGAAGUCCGGGGAGACUGGAAGACUUGGGACCGGGAGAGGUCAGAGGUACUUCUGGGGUAGGGGUAAAAUCCUGUAAUCCUGGAAGGACCACCGGUGGCGAAGGCGUCUGACUAGAACGGAUCCGACGGUGAGGGACGAAGCCCUGGGGCGCAAACGGG